ensembl:lncRNA
AUUUGAAUAAGGAAUCUUUUCAGUCAAGAAUGCAAACAUUAAAAUUUUUUUCAUCUCAAGCACGCAGUAUAAGAUUUCUGCCCACGAAGCAGUUCGGAUCCUUGGUCUUUUCUUCCCCUUCGAGGUUGAUUUUUCUACUGCAGUGUCUGGGCAGAUGUGACCGAGGGGUGCCAUUCCCUCAUGAAUAUUUUUAACAGCUAAUGGAAUGAAAUGGGUCUUUCUAGGAUUUUCUGGCACAGACACUAAAGAAUAGAAGGAAUGUUUCAUUAGGUAAGACCACAUGUUUCUCACUGAUGGAAUAAAAAAGGUACUGAUACAUAAUUGAAAAGGCUGAGGAUUUUAAUGACAUUUUCCUCUUCAUUAUAUUCUUUGUUUUUUUUUUUAAUAGGUAAGUGAUCCCUGAGAUAAAUGAAUAGAAAAUCAAGGAAAAAUUAAGAGGAAAAAUCAUGGAAGGCAUAUGAUGGACCAGGAUGCAUUUCCAUAAGGCAGGGUGAGAAGACCUAUGUCUUCAGAAAUUUAAGAGAAAUAUGUCUUCAAAGGCAAAGUCCACCAAGAUGCUCAGUAUAAAAAAGCAGCACCUAUUGCGUAAGAAGCAGAAAAGAAGAUACCUAGGAGUGCAAUUUCUGAUUGAAAUGGUAUGUUUAUACUUGACUUUUUCAGAAAUCACUAAACCAUUUUCCAAGUUGUCUGUACUAUUGUAUGUUUUACCAGCAAUGUAUGAGGCUUCUAGUUUCUCCAUAUCUUUGUUAACACUUACUGUUGACAAUAACUUUGAUACAUUAAUUAUAGCUUUUCUAGUAGGUAUAUAGUGAUAUCUCAUAAUGGUUUUAAUUUACAUUCUAAUAAUGUAAACAUAUGAGAUAUGUUGACUAUCUUUAUGUGUGCCUACUAGCUAUCCUUUUAAUAUGCUGUUGGGUUCAGUUUGCUAACAUUUUCUCAUGGUAUUUUUCUGCAUCUAUAUUCAUGAAAUAUAUUUAUCUGCUGCUUUUUUGUGGCAUCUUUUUCUAGCUUUGGUAUCAGAUAUUUCUGGCUUAAAGAAUGAAUUGUGAAGUGUUCAUCCCUCUAUAUUUUUGAAAAGUGUUUGUGUAGGGUUGAUAAUAUUCUCUCUUUAGGUAUUUGAUGGAAUUCAUGGUUGAAAUCAUUUGGGUCUUGGCUUUUCUUUGUGGAAAAACUUUUAAUUGCCAAUUCUAUUUCUUACUUGUUAUGGUGGGUGCAUGUAUAUUAUCUGCUUCUUCUUUAGUCAUUUUGGGGAUUAAUGUCUUUUUAUGGCAUUGUCCAUUUCAUCAAAGUUGUUAAAUCUGUUGGUUUUUAGUUGUUCAUAACAUUCCCUUAUAUUUUAAUUUCUGGAUAGUCCGUAUCAAUGUUCCUUCUUUUAUUCCCAAUUUUGAUGAUUUGUGGUUUCUCUUUCUCUCUCUCUCAACCAGUCUAGCUAAAGAUUUUACAAUAUUAUGAUCUUUUAAAAAAAAAUACAAUGUUUUUUUGGUUCUCUAUUUUAUUGUUUUCUGCUCUGAUUUUUAUUAUUCUCUCCCUUCUGCUUAUUUUUGUAUUUAAUUUGCUCUUUUUUUCUCGUUUCUUAGCAAGGAAGUAUAAACUAUUGGGUUAUAAUUUUUUCCUCUUUUCUAAAACAGGUAUUUAAAACUAUAAAUUUCUCUCUGAGAAUUGAUUUACCUCCAUCUCAUACUUUUGAUGUGCUGUAGUAUGUUGUUUCUGUUUUCAUUCAGUUCAAAAUACUUUCUAAUUUCCCUUGUGAUUUCUUUUUAAACCAUCUGUGAUUUAACUUCCAAAUAUUUGGAGAUUUUUUAAAUGUAAUUAUUGGUGUACCUUUCUAAUUAUAUUCCAUUUUUACAGUAGUUUAUACAUUAAAUGAUUUAUAAUACUUUACAACAUGUUAAGAUUUGUUUUAUGUCCUAUAUUAUUUGGUCUACUCUGGUGAAUGUUCUAUGUGUACUUAAAAGAAAGAUUAUUUUGCUGUUUUUGGGAGGAGUGUUUUGUAAAUAUCAAUUAAGUCAAGUUGGUUGAUAUUAUCCAAGUCUUUAUCCAUAAUGACUUUCCAUGUUGUUGUUAUAUCAAUUAUUGUGAAGGAGAUAUUGAAGUAUCUAACAGCAAUUGCUGAAAUGUCUAUUUAUCUUUUCAGUUUUGUUUUGCUACAAGUAUUAUGGUACUCCUUUUAAGGUGCAUAUACAUUUAUAAUUAUUGUACAAUAAAUCUUCACUUAAAGUUGUCCAUAUGUUCUUGGAUAUUGUAAUUUUAAAUGAAAUUAUGUACAGCAAGUCCUCCAAUAUACAUUGCUUCAUUCAAUAUUGUUUCUUUAUAACACUGAUGAAAAAAAUUGGUUUGUUACAUGUCAUUUUUCUCAGAGUUACAGGUUCCAAAAACUUGUCAAUGAUGCUAAGUGAGGACAGACUGUAUCUUUCUGAUAUAUUGACCCUUUUGCUAUUAUGAAAUGUUCCUUUUUUUCUGCAGAUUGAUUAUCCCUUAUUUGAAAUGCAUGGCACCAGAAGUUGUUUCAGAUUUCAGAUUUUUCAGAUUUGGAAUACUUGCAUGUACAUAAUGAGAUAUCUUGAGGAUGGAACCCAAAUCUCAACACAAAAUUUAUUUAAAUUUAUUUAUAUUUUAUAUAUACCUCAUACACAUAGCCUGAAGGUAAUUUCAUACAAUUUAAAAAUAAUUUUGUACAAAAGGUUGUGUUAAAGUCUUAUGUGUAAAAUUUUCCACUUUGGCAUCAUGUUGGCACUCAGAAAAUUAUUAGAGCAUUUCAAAUUUUAUAUUUUCAGAUUAGGUGUGAUCAGUCUGUAGUAAUAUUUCUUUUCUCAAGUGUAUAUUUUUACCACUCCAGUUAUUUAAUAAGUAAAUAUUUAAACUGUAAAGUUUACAUAGUAUAUAUUUUACAAUUCCUGUAUGUUCAAUCUAUCUGUGUCUUUGAAUCUGAACUGUUUCUCUUGUAAAUGGCACAUACAUAGAUAAUGCUUUUUUGAUCAAAUCUGAUAAUCUCUACCUUUUGAUUAGUGUGUAUUUAGACCAUUAAUAUUUAAUAUAUUUACUCACCUGUUUGGCAUUUUGUCUACCUUUUAUUUGUUUUCUAAAUGUCUCUUGUCAUUUUCUGUUCCACCUUUUGUGUUGACAAAUAUUCUUAGAAUUCUAUUUUAAUUUUUCUAUUGAUUUUUAAAACAUAUUUCUGAGUUUUUUUUUGGUGAUUGCCAUAAAAAUUACAAUAUGCAUUCUAACUUACCAUGUUCUACCCAAGUGGCUAAAUUU